GGUUUGGUUGGGGUUUGAUGGGGCUCUGAUGAGGUUUGAUGGGGCUCUAAUGGGGUUUGAUGGGGUUUGGUUGGGGUUUGAUGGGGUUCGGUUGGGGUUUGAUGGGGUUUGGUUGGGGUUUAAUGGGUCUUAAGGCAGUAGAACCCACAGCUCCCACCCCAAGCUCCAGGAUGGAUCCCAAGGGCUGGAAGCUCACCUGGGGUUUGGGGUUUGCUUCCACACGAGGAGACCUUUCCCAGGACCUUAUUCCUGGUGUGAGGAGCCACAAGGAUCAGGAUCCGUCUCCAGCUGCUUUGGGUAUUCCAGCCCCAGGGAUGCAGCCGGAAUCCAGGCUGGAUUGUAGGUGUGGAAUUCCGGGAGCAGAAUUCCCAAGCUCGGUGGCUAAUCCCAACUUGCUCUGUCCUGGCAGGAAUACACAUGCCCACGGUGUGAGUCUGGAUUCAUCGAGGAGGUCACUGAGGAUUCCAGCUUUCUCGAUGGCAUCGAUGACAGCCCAGCCACACAGUUUGCAGAGGUGAGCACUGCUCUCCUGCUCCUCCUUGCCACCCCGUGCUGGGAUAUACUGGGAUAUGCUGGGAUAUGCUGGGAUAUACUGGGAUAUGUGGAAGUGCUCCUCCUGCUUGCUGCUGCUCCCACUUGUGCCAUCUACAGCAUCCUGAGCAGCUCCAUGUGUUGUGGCAUGGGGCAGGAGCUGGGAGGGCUGGAAGCCUCUUUUCCUACCCCAUUCCCAAACCCCAUUCCCAAACCCCAUUCCCUACCCCAUUCCUACCCCAUUCCCAAACCCCCAGUGAGGGUCUGCUCCAGGUUAAGAGAACAGACCUUGGGUUAGCAUCAAAUUCCCAGCCUCAAUCCAAGGCUGCUCCUUUGCUAUCCUUUGGAUUAGUAUGGAAUUCCCAGCCUCAAUCCCAGACUGCUCCUUUGCUAUCCCUUCUGCACUCACACUCCCAUGUUUCUUGUCCAGUGCUCCUCACUUUGAUGCUGCCAUAAACCCACUUUAGAACCCCCCUACUUGUAUCCAUGGGAGCUGGAUCCAAAGGAAUGAUGGAAGGAGGAAUCCCAAGUGGGUUUUAGGCCCACCUGAGACCCAGAGAUCCCAUUGGAUGGGGGCUCCAUGGGAUGGGUGCUGUUGCAGGGAAGAGCCGCAGCCUUGGGCUUGCUGGGGGUGGCUCAGCUGAUGAGCUGGGCUAUAAUUAAGCCCUUUAGCCAAGCGGUUUUCCUUUGGGAGCCAUGGAAACCAUGGGAAUGUGCUGAAGUGCUGCUGGUGAUGGGGACAUCCCAACCUCCGCUCUGGGAUCUGCUCCAUGUGGCUUCCCCCUUAUCCCUCCUCCAGCUUUGGGACCACCUGGACCACACCAUGUUCUUCCCGGACUUCCGGCCCUUCCUAAGCAGCAGUUCCCUGGAGCAGGACAACAGGGACACCGAGAGGGGCCACCAAGCCCAUGCUGAUCUAUGGGGCCCCAGCCGCCCCCCCCGGCUGCCCAUGACACGGAGGUACCGGGCCCGGGGCAGCUCUCGCCC
rnacentral:lncRNA from 14 species